rnacentral:rRNA from 1 species
UACGUAGGCAGCGAGCGUUGUUCGGAAUUACUGGGCGUAAAGAGUGUGUAGGCGGUGCUCUAAGUUCGGUGUGAAAUCUCCCGGCUUAACUGGGAGGGUGCGCCUGAAACUGGAGUGCUCGAGCGUGGGAGAGGAAAGCGGAAUUCCUGGUGUAGCGGUGAAAUGCGUAGAUAUCAGGAGGAACACCUGCGGUGUAGACGGCUUUCUGGACCAUUGCUGACGCUGAGACACGAAAGCGUGGGUAGCAAACAGG